AGUGAACGCUGGCGGUAGGCCUAACGCAUGCAAGUCGAACGGCAGCACAGUAAGAGCUUGCUCUUACGGGUGGCGAGUGGCGGACGGGUGAGGAAUACAUCGGAAUCUACUUUUUCGUGGGGGAUAACGUAGGGAAACUUACGCUAAUACCGCAUACGACCUACGGGUGAAAGCAGGGGAUCUUCGGACCUUGCGCGAUUGAAUGAGCCGAUGUCGGAUUAGCUAGUUGGCGGGGUAAAGGCCCACCAAGGCGACGAUCCGUAGCUGGUCUGAGAGGAUGAUCAGCCACACUGGAACUGAGACACGGUCCAGACUCCUACGGGAGGCAGCAGUGGGGAAUAUUGGACAAUGGGCGCAAGCCUGAUCCAGCCAUACCGCGUGGGUGAAGAAGGCCUUCGGGUUGUAAAGCCCUUUUGUUGGGAAAGAAAAGCAGCAGGUUAAUACCCCGCUGUUCUGACGGUACCCAAAGAAUAAGCACCGGCUAACUUCGU
rnacentral:rRNA from 1 species